rnacentral:rRNA from 1 species
UUAAAUUGAAGAGUUUGAUCAUGGCUCAGAUUGAACGCUGGCGGCAGGCCUAACACAUGCAAGUCGAGCGGUAACAGGAAGAAGCUUGCUUCUU